GUACGCUGGCGGCACGCUUAACACAUGCAAGUCGAACGCAGUAGCAAUACUGAGUGGCAGACGGGUGAGUAUAAUGUGGGAAUCUGCCUUUUGGUUCGGAAUAACUCGGGGAAACCUGAGCUAAUACCGGAUAAGCCCUUACGGGGAAAGAUUUAUCGCCAAAAGAUGAGCCCGCACUUGAUUAGCUUGUUGGUGAGGUAAAAGCUCACCAAGGCAACAAUCAAUAGCUGUUCUUAGAGGAAGACCAGCCACAUUGGGACUGAGACACGGCCCAGACUCCUACGGGAGGCAGCAGUGGGGAAUCUUGCACAAUGGGGGAAACCCUGAUGCAGCGAUGCCGCGUGAGUGAAGAAGGCCUUUGGGUUGUAAAACUCUUUCGUCGGGGAAGAAAAUGACUGUACCCGAAUAAGAAGGUCCGGC
rnacentral:rRNA from 1 species